UAAAUAAAUAUUUUAAAAAACACCUUGAGCAUUCUUGGUGAUAAUAAAGUUUAUUUGCUAAAAAAACCACUGUACUAAGUCAUUUCUUACACCUUUUUCUAGAAUAAAUUAACAGAAAUAAUAAUAGAUGGAAUUUAGCCAGUCAUCAACAUUUACUUAGUUUAUUUACUAAAUAAGUCUGUUUAUUUACUGGGUUUAUUUAGUGUUUUCUGAUGUUUCUCUUCUUCUUCUUUGUUCUUUUCCCUUUUUGUCCAGGUCCUGGGAGGAAUGGAGAGGGGUCCUAUUGACUACCUUUUCUGAAAGUGGUCAGAGAGUUCUUAAACAGAAUUCUAUUUGGCUGCUACUUUGAAAUACAAGCCCUAAAGAUGCCACCUUGUUUGGACUUAGAGGAUGACCUGGAUAAGUGAUAAAAAUUAAGACAUUUUGGUUUUCUUAUUGUUCACUUUGCAUAUACUUCUGGAAUAAUACACCAUGGUUUUGGAUGACCUUCCAAACUUUGAAGACAUCUAUACUUCCCUGU